rnacentral:rRNA from 1 species
AGAGUUUGAUCCUGGCUCAGGACGAACGCUGGCGGCGUGCUUAACACAUGCAAGUCGAGCGAUGAAACACCUUCGGGUGUGAAUUAGCGGCGAACGGGUGAGGAACACGUGAGAAAUCUGCCUUCAACACUGGGAUAACUCCGGGAAACCGGGGCUAAUACCGGAUAUGAAAUCUGCGGGCAUCCGCGGAUUUGGAAAGUUUUUCGGUUGAAGAUGAUCUCGCGGCCUAUCAGCUUGUUGGUGAGGUAAUGGCUCACCAAGGCGACGACGGGUAGCCGGCCUGAGAGGGCGACCGGCCACACUGGGACUGAGACAUGGCCCAGACUCCUACGGGAGGCAGCAGUGGGGAAUAUUGGGCAAUGGAGGAAACUCUGACCCAGCGACGCCGCGUGCGGGAUGAAGGCCUUCGGGUUGUAAACCGCUUUCAGCAGGGAAGAAGCGAAAGUGACGGUACCUGCAGAAGAAGCACCGGCUAACUAUGUGCCAGCAGCCGCGGUAAUACAUAGGGUGCAAGCGUUGUCCGGAAUUAUUGGGCGUAAAGAGCUCGUAGGUGGUUCGUCACGUCGGAUGUGAAACUCUGGGGCUUAACCCCAGACCUGCAUUCGAUACGGGCGAGCUUGAGUAUGGUAGGGGAGUCUGGAAUUC